rnacentral:rRNA from 1 species
AUGUUGAAUGAAAAUCAUGAAGAAUUUGUUGAAGAGCUCAGGAACAAGACUCCAAUGAAGAAUGACGGUGCUGAGACUGAGCCAGCCUCGGUGUUUAUGAGGUCUGAUCCUUGGUCAACUCACCUCGACUAUUGCUCUAAACAACUUAGCAAAUUUGAAAUGGAGGAAUCUGAUGUGGAAGAAGAGAAUGUCAAUACUGAAAUGCAAUGUCGACCAGAUGAGCUAGCUAUGGCUAUGAAUUUAGUGAAGAGAUCAUUACUGGAGACUCUGGAAAAGGCUGAAACAGUGGUGAAAAAGAAACCCAAUGUCAAAAACUCACCUACUUGGGGCCCGGUGCUUGCUGAUAAGCCUAUGACCAGGAACCACGAAAAUGUUAAGAUCAUGGACAAAGCAACUUCAUACAUGAUGAAGAAAAAUCUGGAAAUCCCUGCAACAUUCAAAGGGGCGCAAAUGGAAAAGUGUGAAUUGCACUCUUGCAGAACUAAGCUGCUAUUUACAUCAAUGGAAGGUUCUUUGCGAUGA